ACGGAGGGUGCGAGCGUUGUCCGGAAUCACUGGGCGUAAAGGGCGCGUAGGCGGCCUGGCAAGUCGAUGGUGAAAGCCCGUGGCUCAACUACGGGUCGGCCAUUGAUACUGCUCGGCUCGAGUCGACUAGAGGCAGAUGGAAUUCCUGGUGUAGCGGUGAAAUGCGCAGAUAUCAGGAGGAACACCGGUGGCGAAGGCGGGUCUCUGGGCCGAUAUUGACGCUGAGGAGCGAAAGCGUGGGGAGCGAACAGGA
rnacentral:rRNA from 1 species